UAAUUUUUAUGGAGAGUUUGAUCCUGGCUCAGGAUGAACGCUGGCGGCGUGCCUAAUACAUGCAAGUCGAGCGAACGGACGAGAAGCUUGCUUCUCUGAUGUUAGCGGCGGACGGGUGAGUAACACGUGGAUAACCUACCUAUAAGACUGGGAUAACUUCGGGAAACCGGAGCUAAUACCGGAUAAUAUUUUGAACCGCAUGGUUCAAAAGUAAAAGACGGUCUUGCUGUCACUUAUAGAUGGAUCCGCGCUGCAUUAGCUAGUUGGUAAGGUAACGGCUUACCAAGGCAACGAUGCAUAGCCGACCUGAGAGGGUGAUCGGCCACACUGGAACUGAGACACGGUCCAGACUCCUACGGGAGGCAGCAGUAGGGAAUCUUCCGCAAUGGGCGAAAGCCUGACGGAGCAACGCCGCGUGAGUGAUGAAGGUCUUCGGAUCGUAAAACUCUGUUAUUAGGGAAGAACAUAUGUGUAAGUAACUGUGCACAUCUUGACGGUACCUAAUCAGAAAGCCACGGCUAACUACGUGCCAGCAGCCGCGGUAAUACGUAGGUGGCAAGCGUUAUCCGGAAUUAUUGGGCGUAAAGCGCGCGUAGGCGGUUUUUUAAGUCUGAUGUGAAAGCCCACGGCUCAACCGUGGAGGGUCAUUGGAAACUGGAAAACUUGAGUGCAGAAGAGGAAAGUGGAAUUCCAUGUGUAGCGGUGAAAUGCGCAGAGAUAUGGAGGAACACCAGUGGCGAAGGCGACUUUCUGGUCUGUAACUGACGCUGAUGUGCGAAAGCGUGGGGAUCAAACAGGAUUAGAUACCCUGGUAGUCCACGCCGUAAACGAUGAGUGCUAAGUGUUAGGGGGUUUCCGCCCCUUAGUGCUGCAGCUAACGCAUUAAGCACUCCGCCUGGGGAGUACGACCGCAAGGUUGAAACUCAAAGGAAUUGACGGGGACCCGCACAAGCGGUGGAGCAUGUGGUUUAAUUCGAAGCAACGCGAAGAACCUUACCAAAUCUUGACAUCCUUUGACAACUCUAGAGAUAGAGCCUUCCCCUUCGGGGGACAAAGUGACAGGUGGUGCAUGGUUGUCGUCAGCUCGUGUCGUGAGAUGUUGGGUUAAGUCCCGCAACGAGCGCAACCCUUAAGCUUAGUUGCCAUCAUUAAGUUGGGCACUCUAAGUUGACUGCCGGUGACAAACCGGAGGAAGGUGGGGAUGACGUCAAAUCAUCAUGCCCCUUAUGAUUUGGGCUACACACGUGCUACAAUGGACAAUACAAAGGGCAGCGAAACCGCGAGGUCAAGCAAAUCCCAUAAAGUUGUUCUCAGUUCGGAUUGUAGUCUGCAACUCGACUACAUGAAGCUGGAAUCGCUAGUAAUCGUAGAUCAGCAUGCUACGGUGAAUACGUUCCCGGGUCUUGUACACACCGCCCGUCACACCACGAGAGUUUGUAACACCCGAAGCCGGUGGAGUAACCUUUUAGGAGCUAGCCGUCGAAGGUGGGACAAAUGAUUGGGGUGAAGUCGUAACAAGGUAGCCGUAUCGGAAGGUGCGGCUGGAUCACCUCCUUUCUAAG
rnacentral:rRNA from 1 species